rnacentral:rRNA from 1 species
UACGUAGGGGUCAAGCGUUGUCCGGAAUCAUUGGGCGUAAAGAGCGCGUAGGCGGUCCGGUAAGUCCGCUCUGAAAGCCCGGGGCUCAACCCCGGGAGGCGGGCGGAUACUGUCGGGCUAGAGUCCGGAAGAGGCGAGUGGAAUUCCUGGUGUAGCGGUGAAAUGCGCAGAUAUCAGGAGGAACACCGAUGGCGAAGGCAGCUCGCUGGGACGGUACUGACGCUGAGGCGCGAAAGCGUGGGGAGCGAACAGG